rnacentral:lncRNA from 1 species
GCUCACUUCCAGGGUGAAUGCUGUGUCUACUGCCAAGAAUGAGACCGUAGUCAACACCAAAGCUGAUUAGACCUUUGGUCCCACUGAAAGACUUUCCUACAGGAGACUUUACCAUGCUCUCCAUACUUGUGAGCCAUCAGAGUGCAGCCCUUUGCCUCUCCCCAAACCACCAUUCACUUUUUAUCAAAGUCUGCAAGAAAAACCGUAGACAAGACUUGUAAAAUUGUCCUUGGAGUAGCAGAGUUGAACAGCCAAAAGGUCCACAGAACCAAGCUUCGAUACCAUCAUGCAGCUGGGACUUUCCCCUCCAUGCUCUCCAUACACACAGAGGCUUCAUAUUCUUAAAAUUCUAGUCCAAGUGUGGCAAACUGACAAGAAGGGUUGUGAGUUUCAAAAUCUGGAUUUCUCUUGGAAAGUCAAGAGCUGUUUUAGGGCUCUGAGAAGACAUGCAUACCACAAACUGGGAAUACACAAAAGUCUGAAGAGGAUUUGCUUUACUUUUCUACAGAAUAUGGAAGUCUAUUCAGGGUAAAAAUAUAAACUAUGAAAUCUAACAAGAUACAGAGGUCUUUCUAUUGCAGGUUGCUGUCAAAAUUGGCAAAUUCAUUAAAGAAAGUGGUGUUGGUCCCAGACACAAGUUACUCCAGACACAAAACUGCUAUAAAUAACACUCAUGGCAGAGCCUCGGAAUGGCCCCGGAGCCAUGCCCCUACUACAAAGUGACUUGGCUGUGAUUCAGGGGACACUUGCUAAGUAAACGAUCAGGGAUCGAGUCUUUUGUAAAAGAUAACUACAAUCACCUGGUACUCACCAAACACUCUGUGGAUAUUCUGUUGAGUGAAACUGUUGUCAAUAAGGCAUCUUCUAUGACUUGCACUCAAAUGCAAGGCCAGGAGGGAGGCCAAGUUCAAGCUUGAGGAAAUAAAAAACAGGCAGAACAGGGAUUCCUCCA